CCUGCCCCUAGAGGCAUUGUAGGUGUGACUACUAUGUCACUUGUAUGUCAGUAGGUGGCAGAGAGAAGAGAGCUUGCGUUCUGCCCCAUGUUCUGAUCUGUGAACAUCUGAAUGAUAAGUAGCCUAACAGU